rnacentral:rRNA from 2 species
CUUGAUAACAUAAGAGGUCCAGCCUGCCCAGUGACUCAAUUUAACGGCCGCGGUAUCCUAACCGUGCAAAGGUAGCGUAAUCACUUGUCUUCUAAAUAAAGACUAGUAUGAAAGGCACCACGAGAACUAAACUGUCUCCUUUUUCUAAUCAGUGAACCUAAUCUCCCUGUGAAAAAGCAGGGAUUUAAUAAUAAGACGAGAAGACCCUAUGGAGCUUUAAACACAUAACACUGCCCUUUUACACCACAUGUUCCCAUGCACAAUGAUUAAGAGUUUUUAGUUGGGGUGACUACGGAGUAAACCCACCCUCCGCGAUGAAUCUUAAACAAGCGACAGCUUUAUACAUCAGCAAACUGACACCAUUGACCCAAUUUAUUGAUCAACGAAC